rnacentral:rRNA from 1 species
CCUACGGGUGGCUGCAGUGAGGAAUAUUGGUCAAUGGGCGAAAGCCUGAACCAGCCAUGCCGCGUGCAGGAUGAAGCAUCUAUGGUGUGUAAACUGCUUUUGUACGGGAAGAAACACCCCUUCGUGAAGGGGCUUGACGGUACCGUAAGAAUAAGGAUCGGCUAACUCCGUGCCAGCAGCCGCGGUAAUACGGAGGAUCCAAGCGUUAUCCGGAAUCAUUGGGUUUAAAGGGUCCGUAGGCGGUUUUAUAAGUCAGUGGUGAAAUCCGGCAGCUC